rnacentral:rRNA from 1 species
UACGUAGGGGGCAAGCGUUAUCCGGAUUCACUGGGCGUAAAGGGAGCGCAGGCGGCAUGGCAAGUCUGAUGUGAAAACCCGGGGCCCAACCCCGGGAGUGCAUUGGAAACUGCCAGGCUGGAGUGUCGGAGGGGUAGGCGGAAUUCCUAGUGUAGCGGUGAAAUGCGUAGAUAUUAGGAGGAACACCAGUGGCGAAGGCGGCUUACUGGACGACUACUGACGCUGAGGCUCGAAAGCGUGGGGAGCAAACAGG